ACUUCUCAUUCAAAUAUUAUAAAGAAAAAAAGAGGGGCCUUUAUUUUUGGAUAUAUGAACAUUAAUACAGUUAUAACUUUACAGAAUAAUGCAUGCAUUUCAUGACUUUCAGACUGUAUAUGUUAUUUUGUUGCAUACAAACAAAAGCGAUAUACUGAUCAAAAUAUACGGGCAUUUAAACACUACCUUAAAAAACAAGUUUCUUUUUGUGUUUUAUUAUUUGUAGGAAGGGAUCAGCAACUGCUACCAGCUAAUGCAGCAAAUAGCUAUUGGUAUAAUACAGAGGAAGCAACCAAUGAUCCUCUCUCAGCUCAGAGUAACAACCUCAACAGUUAAUUUGGGCCCAGGGGUCUCAUCCUCCUCCUCUUCUCCUCCAUCCAAGAGAAGGAAACUCAAUAGCAAUUGAAGGAUCACAACACAAGGCUCACAAUAAGUAAAUUAAUUAUCUAUGAAUUUCUUAUUGGGUUUUUGCAGAUUCCUCAGUAUUUUUUUUGUCUUAGAGGAGUUUGGGUGGUGUUUUGGUUAGUUUAACAAGUGUGCAGAGAUUAGUAUAAUAUUGGUUUGUGUCCCAAGAGUUAGGUCUGGUGCAUGGGAGAUGAUUUUUUUAUUUCUUUCUUUUAUUUUCCCCUCUUUUUGUUGAGUUGUUUCUCUUUUUUUUUUUUUUCUUUUUAAAGCUCUUUUAUUUGUGGGGGCUUUGCUAUUUAGAUAAGCCAUGAUGGGAGAUUCCCAAGGGUGGGGGAUCUGCCAUUUGCAUGCUUGUUUGUGUGGGGGAGGAAAAGGAAAACAUAUGAGGAGGGGAAGAUAUGUUUGUCAUGUUUAAGGGAGUGGGGCUAUUACCAAUCAAAAGGAGCAUUGAUUGUUGAGUAGAGGAGAGAGAAAAGAUGAGGUGGGCCUUUUUAAGGCCAUAGGGAAGAGAGAAGAGCAUUUAAAUGAGGGGGUGUUGUGGUUUUAAUUAAUAAAGGAGCUCAUUUUUCCAAGCCCAAAAGAUCAUGUUCCACAUUGCUCAUCAGUUGGUCAAACUCCUCCAUCAGAAAUUUGAUUGUGGUUUUUUCUUUUUUUCUUCCUUUGUUUUUUUUUCGCAAAUUUUCUUUAUUGGUCUUUGAGUGGUGUGAUUAUAAGUGUCAUGCAUGUAUUGGCUACACAUGCAUUUGUUAAUGCUUGGAGUGACUUAUUGAUCCCACUUCAUGCAUAUAUAAUAUAUAUAUAUAUAUAUAAAUAUGGUGAGCUAAGAUUAAAUGGUUAUUUGUGUACAAAAGGCCUCUGGGGGCCUUUGAUUUGAAGAUACUUUGUCUUACUUGGACUUCAUGAUCAAUAAAAACAAAUUCUGAUAUAUAAUUUUGUACCUAAAAGUGUUUUGAGUUGAUAGCCUAAUGUCUUUGUGUACAAUUUGUAGUACUGUUGGAGCUAAAAUUAUUUACUGUAGUAAUAAAUUGCUAGCUGUUUGGACUUUUCUUCAUUCUACUUCACCAUUUCAUUCUCUUUAUGAGAUUAUUUCUUAAACUUUCUUUAUUAUUGAGCCUUUUUUUUCGCCCCCUUUAAUUCCAUCCCAAUUCAUAUAUAUAUAUAUAUAUAUAUAUAUAUAUAUAUAUAUAUAUAUAUAUAGACCAAUCACUAAUUAAUUAUUUUAAUGAUAUAUAUCAUGGUCAAUUCCAAAUGAUAUAGAUAUAUAUAUAUAUAUGAUAUAAACGAGUACUUAAUCAAUUACCAACCACCAAAUUCCUCCUAAUACUCCACUUCAGCAUCUCUUUUUCUAAAGUUGCAUCACAGUAUAUCAUGCACACCUCAAACUAAUGAACACAAUAAUGUUUUCACAAUGCUUCUUCCCAAAAGAGAGUCAAUAUAUAUAUUCAGCUCUUCAGCACAAAUUUUGACAUAUUUGUUUAGGAAAAUUACGGACGCAAAAUUGUGUACUUAGAUUAACGAAUAAUAGUAAUCAAAAUACGGACAAGUACUUUUUCAUUAAUGACCCAUAAAUAACACGAGAAAACGUCUUCAACAGGUCAAAAUAGAUUGAUUUUUUUAUUUAAUUUUCUCCAACCAAAGAGUAUGGUCAACUCCACCAUAAUAUCUAGCAACUUUAUUGCCAUUAACCCUCUGGGAGUAAUGGGGAGGGGCGAAUGGUACUCAAAUGGGAUGGAGACGUGCAGUGGAGGACAAAAACCCCUUGUACAAUGAGACAUUAUUACCUGGACCUUCAUAAUCAUACAACAAGUAAAAAUAAGUUUUCAAAUCAUUGCAUGUGAUCUUGAUCAUCUGCAUUUUAAUAAUUAUUUAUUUUAUUUUAUGUACCUAGUAUAAAUAGUUAUUUCAACGUUAUUAAUUAACCUUUAUGGGCUAUUGAAAGGUUGUACAACAGAGCUAAAGUUUACAUCAAAUUUCAUGACUCGUAGGGUCGACGAUUAAAGGUCACUUAAUUCUUGACAAUAUAUGUUCCCCAGCUUGUUAUUCCUAAAAAAAUUUGACAUAUUGCCAAUGUGUUGUUAAGUCUAUGUCAUAUAUUAAAAUUAAUUAACACAUAUAUAUGUGAAUUAACUUAUUAUAUUAUUUUGUACUGAAUUGAUAAAUUAACAAAAAAAAUUUAUAUAGUAAAAAUGAAUCUGUUAAUAAUUAAUCGACUGAGAGUUGAAGCGCACGAUUAGUCAUUUUCCACGUCCUUGUCAAUUGGUGCAUAGUAGCAUUACAACUUUUGCUAGCCAGGCCAAAUUAACCUAACCUAUUUUCCUCCUUAGGCACAACUAGUGAUUACAAAAAUUGAACUCCUUGUUGGACUCGAGCAAUGUUGUUAUGUUGGGAUUGGAACACGUUGAAUCAUCAAAUCAAAUAUACUAUUAUAUUAUAUAUAUAUAUAUAUAUAUAUAUAUAUGAAACAAAUUCGUACCUUAAUUUUCUUAACAUCUAGUGGUGGAAUAAAAAUGAGAAAAUACACUGCAGAUGUGGACUUCUUGGAUCACUGCCCAUCAUCAAUGGCUGCAGCUGCCAUAAUAUGUGCUACUGAUGAGACACCAGCUCUAGCAUUUAUUAAUCCUGAGAUUGCUGUUACAUGGUGUAUUGGACUCACAGAGGUAAAUAAGAACUUAAACUUCUCAUUCAAAUAUUAUAAAGAAAAAAAGAGGGGCCUUUAUUUUUGGAUAUAUGAACAUUAAUACAGUUAUAACUUUACAGAAUAAUGCAUGCAUUUCAUGACUUUCAGACUGUAUAUGUUAUUUUGUUGCAUACAAACAAAAGCGAUAUACUGAUCAAAAUAUACGGGCAUUUAAACACUACCUUAAAAAACAAGUUUCUUUUUGUGUUUUAUUAUUUGUAGGAAGGGAUCAGCAACUGCUACCAGCUAAUGCAGCAAAUAGCUAUUGGUAUAAUACAGAGGAAGCAACCAAUGAUCCUCUCUCAGCUCAGAGUAACAACCUCAACAGUUAAUUUGGGCCCAGGGGUCUCAUCCUCCUCCUCUUCUCCUCCAUCCAAGAGAAGGAAACUCAAUAGCAAUUGAAGGAUCACAACACAAGGCUCACAAUAAGUAAAUUAAUUAUCUAUGAAUUUCUUAUUGGGUUUUUGCA
rnacentral:lncRNA from 1 species